GACGAACCGUCCAACCGUUAUUCGGAAUCACUGGGCUUACAGAGUUCGUAGGCGGUCCCAAAAGUUAGGUGUGAAAUCCCUCGGCUCAACCGAGGAACUGCGCUUAAAACUGUGGGACUCGAGGGAGAUAGAGGAAAGCGGAACUGAUGGUGGAGCGGUGAAAUGCGUUGAUAUCAUCAGGAACACCGGUGGCGAAGGCGGCUUUCUGGGUCUUACCUGACGCUGAGGAACGAAAGCCAGGGGAGCGAACGGG
rnacentral:rRNA from 1 species